rnacentral:misc_RNA from 1 species
GCUUUCCCCGUUACAGGCUCACCUACACGCCCCUCUACAGCCCUCUUAAACUAUCCGACACCCUUUUCGUGUGCACCCCGCCACCCCCACCCCCAGCGCCCGCGCACGCUUGACUCGACUCGCUUAUCCCCAUAGUCGCGCUCUACCCAUUCCUUCACUACCCCCUCCCCCUCUAAACACUUAUCUCCCCCGCUUAUACACCAUGGGAAGCUCCUGCACGAAGGACUCCGCAAAGGAGCCCCAGAAGCGUGCUGAUAACAUCGAUACGACCACUCGAAGCGAUGAGAAGGACGGCAUCCAUGUCCAGGAGAGCGCCGGUCCUGUGCAGGAGAACUUUGGGGAUGCGCAGGAGAAGAACGAAGAUGGACACAACGUGGGGGAUGGAGCUAACGGCAAUGAGGAUGGUAACGAUGAUCAGCCGAAGGAGCAGGUUGCCGGCAACUAGUGCACUGCGUCCGGGCUUGUGUGCGAGCCGUGCUCUGCACCCCGCCGUUCGUGCAUCCUCGCAUGUGGACCGCGUGUGUGUCUCCCGCUUUAUCUCUCUUCCCCGCACAGUGGCUGAUGCCUGCACGGGGUCGCUGUGGCUGCACCUGCUGACCACUGCCAGCGUUCUCGGCUCGCCCUCCUCUCUCCGCCUCCGAGUGUGCGGUACGGGCUGGCCUGGGCGCGCCGCGGAUGUCGUCGGUGCGUGCGGGGUCAUCGCCGAGAGUUUGGCACCUGGGCUGCUGCUACGCAACUGUGGCCAGGCCAGGCCCUGCCUCUGUGUGUGCUGUGAUCGCCGGCUCUAGCUUCACGCUCGCUGCCCCUGCGUGGACGGUCUUUGUUUCUUGUUUCUUUUCGAUUGCCUCUGCACACGCGCAUAUCCUCCUCCCUGCCCACCCCUCCACCUCUGUUUCCGGGUGUCUCGUGAGAGCCUUGUGAUGCCCCGCUCCCGCGUACCGGGGUUCCAUUGGUGAUGUGCAUCGUGUUCGCUGGUCAUUGGCCCCGUUAUCUCGAUGCUCUCGAGGCGAGCUGUGUUUUCUUCUCUCUACGGUGCUCUCCAUUUUUCUCUUUGUGGUGGCGCUCGGGCGGAAGGUGCGGAAAUGUGUGCAGUUGUUUCGAUGGUGUCGGCGAAGAAGACGCGCGCUGACGUGAGCUACGUGAAAGGGUCAAGGCGAACAAGCAAUGAAGGAAAAGGGCGGUGCGGCUGAGAAGCCGCUGCGCAUCCCUACGUUCUCAACGCCGCUGCGAACCUCGUUUUGAAAAAUGAGAAAAUGACACCGAAAAGGGAGGUGGCCGGUUUUCACGAUAGCGGAGCAACUCAGAGGGAUAGAGGCAUGCCGGUAGGCUGAAGAUGCUCGAAAGGGGAGUUUUUUGAAGGAGCAGCAACGUUUUUCUUUCGUUCUUUCCAAGUGUGUUGAUGUGGGCACUAUAGUUACAGACACACAUACACAUACAGUUACUAUGGUCCUACAGCAGCAACCGUUCUCUCACACGCUGACGAGCGAACUGGAGCGGACGAGGAGGCGAUGCCUGGAUAUCUCCCCUCCCGCUUUUUUUCUUUCGUGCAUCUUCUUCAGCUUCCCGUUUUUGGUAUAUUUGUCCGUGUAGCGUGAUGGGCUCUCGCACCUUUCUCUUCGUCCUUUCCGUGGCUUAUAUUUUUUUGAUUUUGUAUGCGCUCCCAUGUAUCUUUUUUUAUUAUGUUUGUACGCGUCUCCACUCUUUUCUUUCUUCAGUCGUGGUUUUCCAACAGCAUAUAUGUUUUACAUCUCGCACACGCGCUUACACGCACGCGAACACGAAACCACCGCAGCAUAUGUACAUACAAUACAUAUGGUGGGCGCACAUACCGUAUAUCAUACCUACAACUGUGGUGCUCGUCUACAGAUACACACAGCAGACGAAAAAAAAAGGAUGAAAAGGGGGUUCUCUUUUUGGUUUUGUUUUCCCUUUUCCCUCUCUCCUCUACCCCCUCCUUUUUUUACACCCUUUCCGUUGUUGUGUGCUGUGCACCUCCCACCAAUACACCGCCACGCACACAUAUAUGAAAACAGUUACAGAAUGGAAGGCACCUGCACGGCUUCAUGGAAAGAUGGAGAGAGAGAAGCGGAGCGCUGCUGCGCUCCCGUUUGUGCUCGCCCCCUCUCACCCUUGCGCUUUUUUUUGGGGUUUACGGGGUCUGCAUGCCUGCGUAGAGGCUGACCUCGUACCACGCCAUCGAUGAGGAAGAGACGAGGUUAAAAAAAAGCAGGCCGGCUAUCUUGUAAAAGAUCAGCCUCUCUCUCUGUGUCUGUGUGUAUGUGUGCUGUGCUGCAGAGGCUUGCAUUCCAACUUCCGUGGCAAUGAAAUCCCUUGAUUCGAAAAUGUUUAUUUUUCAAACAAAAAGAAUCUCUCAAUCAGGUUUGCCGGCAAUCGUAUGAAGUUGAAAC